rnacentral:ncRNA from 1 species
AUCAAUCUGAACAACUGUUUGAACAGAGCCCUUACCAAAGCUUUGAGUCCCUAAGAUCAUUCCACGCUUGUGAUCUUGUAUAGCUCCUGCAACAAUUUCAGAAGCUGAAGCAGAAGAACCAUUAACGAGUACAACCAGUGGCGUCUCUAAAUCUUUCUUCAUAGAUUUUAUAACGUAGUGAAUGUUUUUAUUACUGGGAUCUCUCGACUCGGUUGAUACAACAAUACCAGACUCUAGAAAAAUUGAGGAAACUUUAACUGCUUCAUCCAGCAGUCCACCGGGAUU